UACGGCCAUAUCACAAGGAAAUACCAGUUCCUGUAUGAUCACCAAAUUUAAGCAAUGUCGAGCCUGUCUGUACCUAGAUGGGUGACUACUUGAGAAUACCAGAUGCUGUAAG